rnacentral:rRNA from 1 species
AAGGAAUAUUGGUCAAUGGAGGCAACUCUGAACCAGCCAUGCCGCGUGAAGGAUGAAGGCCCUCUGGGUUGUAAACUUCUUUUAUGUGGGAAGAAACCGAUGGAUUAUUCUGUCGUUGACGGUACUAUAUGAAUAAGCACCGGCUAACUCCGUGCCAGCA